rnacentral:lncRNA from 1 species
AUGCAAUCCAGCACUACUUUCAGCAAAACUUCCAUAAAUCCUCAUCUCUGUCCAGUAUCACAAGCACCCUGCCUGUCCAGAAGGCCUGUUUGCAGUGCACAGAGGCUCAGAAAGAAAUGUGAAGAAUGUAAGUUCAUUACUUUCUCCACCCUGAGACCUAGAUGUGAAAAGGUAAUGUCUGGCUUAUUUCAACAAGCCCAAUUCUAAAGCCAUCCUCAUGAGUAACGUGAUUUAUUCCAACGGGGUACAUUUUUGUUAUUUUUAAGAACCCUUCUCGAUUUCAUCAAGUUGCUUCUCCCUAAAGGAAAGAUCAGAUCAGAGAGAUGAAGGAGGUGGUCUCAGCUAUUGAAUUGAGUAAAUGAACAAAACCUGAUUGACCAAGUUACACAAUAUUAGGGGAACUGAGACACAACAGUGUGCACAGAGUUCACUAAGUGAUGCUCUUAGAAGGAAUUUGUUCUUAAGAAUGAUUAUCUACUUAAUAUGUUGUACAAAAUCGGAGAACAAAGAGCUAGGCUAACUUGAUAUAUCAUUGGCCAAGUUCUCCUAAAUUCUUACUACUUAAGGAAAAGUCUGAGAGGUCGAGUUGAAUUCACAGGAAUUAAAUGGCCUCAAUUGUGUGGAUUGAAGGGUUGCAGAGUCAGGCAGAUUACAUAAUAAGGCUUUGUAAUCUUAGAAGAUCUCCUUCCCCACCCUCUAUUCCCUAAUCAUAUACUCGGAGCAUUUGUGUGGUAUCACCAAAAUGAUGGGUGCUGUAACUACUACAUGGGAAUUGAGAGGAUAUGCUGUGAUUGUGAGCAAAUAUAUCAUAAUGAAAUGAAGAAAGAGGAACACAGAAGAAUGACAAUAGAACCAGAGUGAAAGAGGGGUCAGAAGUUCAAGAAAUAUCAAAGGAACAUUUCAUAUGUGAAUAAAAACUGAGUGAAAGGGCAGAAGGAUAUAGAAAUGCUAGGAGCCCUUCUUACUCUCUUCAAAUAUAAGGCAACAGAGGUAUGUACACUAUAAGAGGGUGAAAAAUAAAAAGAAAGUGUAAGCGAUGAGAGUCCAACACAACAUCUUCAGGAAGCAAUCACAGAACCUAUGGGAUGCACUGCAGUGAAGCCAUGUAAGCUUCUGGGAAACCAGUAGGAAUCUACUAGAUAGGGAAGCGCAAUAACAACAGGCUGAGAUCUAGAGUUCUUAAAUACUGUAUGUCUUGCUACUGCUCUUAAAAAUGUUUUCAAAAAUUGCUCAAACUGAGAUUUCUCAUAACAAUCCAAUGAAAAUAAAAGAAUCAUAUAUAAUUUAAGAAUAAGAAAAAUUAUGUACUUUUUAAUAUGGUUGGCACAAUGACUGUUUUGCUGCGGCUUUUAUUUAGUAAUGUUGAGAAACGCAAAGCUGUGAAUAUACAUGUCAUCGAAUAUAUUUAUAUGCCUCUUGAACUUUUGAUACUUUGGUUAUAAGAGUAAUAAAACCACUAUCUCACACAUAAAUAUGAUUCCAUCUCCUACAUUGCCCUAAACCCUUUGGAAAGCAUGCUGCUUAUGCAACUCAAAAAUUUUCAAACUUCAUUGCCUCAAAUUAUAUUUGGAUUAAUAAAUAAAAUACUAAAAAUUAUUGUUUUUUUCCCCAUGGCUCAGCGUACCUUUAUUGCCUCUUCUGAAGUCAGCCAUCCUGUGCUAAUCAGAGCUUUAGUUUUUAAUCUUUAUUCUGCUUUCUGAUGAAGUGGUUUAGGACCUUCCAGUGAAGAAUCUUUGAGGUAGACAAAGAGCUAUUGCUGAAGCAGCCUGGGAAUCUGGAGUGUUGUUGGGAAGCUCUGACCCAGCUGAUGGGGCAUGUGGGGUGCCAUAUGAGAUGAGGCACCAGCAUUGAGAAUAAUGGUGACAGUAGCCAGCAUUUACGGAGCACCUUCUGUGCCCCAGGCCUGCUGCCAGGGUCCUUGCCACUCUUACUCCAUUCCAUCUGCAUAGUAUGUCCAGGAUAUAAGACUUAGCAUAGUUGUUUUGCCAAUGGGUAAACUGAGUCACAAGGAGAUCGAUUGAGGUCCCCACGUCCCACGGAAUUUUUUGUAAAAACCCAGACAGUAAAUAUUUUAGGCUUAGUGGCCCGAAAGGACCUAUUACAACCAAACUCCAUAGUUUAUAGCUCAAAAACAGUAGUAGACAAUAUGUAAACAAAUGGGUGUGGCUGUAUUCCAAUAAAACUGUAUUUACUAAAACAAGUAGAAGGUCAGAUUGUCCGUGGGCUGUAAUUUGCAGAAGCUAAUUAGAUUAUCUUCAUGUAAAUAGUAUAGUUUAUGUAAUCUAGAUUUAUUAUUUGUUAAGUAUUUCUAGAACAGGGCUCAAACUAUAUUUUACUUAGGUCUUUAUCUAUUGUUUAAAAAAAAGAUGAAGACGACAAUUUAGGUGAUACAAAAAAGUUUUAUUAAACACUUCAUGAAACAGACUUCUUUUGCAGAACUGCAAAAUGGGGCAGAAGACAGAAAGCUUCUAUAAGAUAAAGAAGAGAAAACAAAGAAGAGAACACAAGAAAUUGUCUGAUUGGCUAGAGCCACACAGUCAACUUGGUUGGGAAUGAGAAGGCACAAGGGAAAAAGUAUAGAGUUGACUUGGUUCUCGAGGACUGGCUAGCUUGGUGUUUAACGACUGGCGUCCACUGAGCAUUCACAGAGACACAAAAUCUAUCUGAGUUUUGAUUUGCUGAUUUGGCACCCUGCACAGGAGCUGCUCCAUUUGGGGCUUGAAAAUUUAUUUCGACACUACUAACCCAUUGAAACGUAAGUUUUAUGAGGACAAAGGCUUUUUCUCCACUCAUUGUUAACAACACUAGUACAUAGUAAUAUACAUAGUUAAUAAAUAAGCUAAUAAAUGAAUUUGUUGUGUAAAUCAGCUAUACUUGCACAAAAUAAAACUCAAAACUUCUUUACCUGGGAGUCUAUAUUUGAAACAGAACUUUCCUAAAGAAGUCUCUGGAAGUUACCAUGUCUGUUCUAUGUACAUAUUUAAAUAAAUGUCCUACCCAAAUAUAUUUGCCAAAAGAUAAGUUAUCCAUACUGUAAGUCACUGAUUAAGUUGCUGGGGUGCCUGGCUGGCUCAGUCAGUGGAGCAUCCGACUCUUGGUUUUGGUUCAGGUCAUCAUCUCAGAAGGUCAGAUUGUGGGAUGUGGGAUCAAACCCCAGGUAGGGGCUCCUCGCUCUGGGGUGGGAAGGUUGGAGGAGUGGUGGGGGUUCCGUUUAAAAGCUUCUCUCCUUCUGCUCCUUCCUCAGCUCAUGCAUGCUCUGUCUCUAAAACAAUAAAUAAAUAUUAAAUAAACAAAGAAAUAAAUUGCUAAUUUGUUACUCUUCAAAAGCAAUAUUUAUUUCUCUUUGCAUUUCCUACUCUGACAAUCCUCUUUUCAAUCCUACAUGAAUAACUCUGCUUAUUAGAGAAAGGGUCAAAAGGAAAAUUGUAAUAUUUUCGUAAUUCAUAAGAUUUUUUAAAAUUCCUUUUUUACAUUCAUAAUUACCUUUAAAAUAGAAUAAACAUCUGGCAAUCAGGUAGCCAAGGGCUCUACCUUAAUGAAGUAUAACCAGGCUGUUCGCCCUGAUGUCCAGCUUCUUUUUAACAUUAGGCCUGAAUCCUUUCUUUCCAGACAUCCAAUGCCCCAACUUGCCCCCAUCUCUUUGUUUGCAGAGUGCGAAGAGUAGUAUUUUAUAGGUCCUUGCGGGGAUAUGCUCAUGGUUAUGUGGAGGAAGGGGUUGCUCAGCAAAAUUUCAGAGCAUACAUGCCUGUCCUUCUACUUGGUGAUCCCCCACCCCCCACCCCAGGCAGUAGGCAGCUUGGCUGGAAAACGAGUUGCACGUUCCCACAGACACUGACUUGCACAUGUCCUGCCAAUGGCCACAAGUUACUCAGCCUCUCUACGCACUGCCUCUAUUGAAACUUCCACUUCUCCACAGGCACAGGACCUGGCUCCACUUACCCUGCUCACCUCCCCUUCCCCACAGGGACAAUCUAUAAGGUCACGCCCCGCCACCUUCCUCCUUCUGGAGUCACCCAGCCCCUCCUGAGGUAGGGCAGGAACAGAGGGUCCGCAGUGUCUUUCUCUUUGUAGGCCUAUUAAGAGCAUAAUCAGUGCUCUAUAACCCUCAGGGGCUUUCCGUUUGAUACCCAAGAGUCUCUCUGCAAGUGAAAAAAAAAAAAAAAACCCUCAAAAAUAACUUUCUUUCUCUUUGCAUUCCUGCUUUAUUGCCAGCUUGGAACAUCUCUUACCUCCAAAAAUAAAUCAGGUACCGGGAUAGAUAAAUACUACAUACAUGCAUCCUAUUGUCAUCUCGUUGCAUUCCUACUAUAACAAUCCAAUCCUUUUUAAGGGUACAUGAAUAGUACUGCUAUCAGAGAACAGGCCAAAAAGAAAUG